AAAGUACUCGUUGUAAAGUUGUACUAUUUUGGCGCAACUGAGUAAUCUAAUAUUGUUCCGGUUUUGGUUCUUGUGAACGUUGUCAUAGAUUCGUUCCAAAUUUACACUCUCGGGGCAUAAUAGAACAAUAUAAUUAGGUUUUACGCUUUAUUCGAUUGAAUGAGAAAAAGUGCUCAUUGCAAAGUUAUACUGUUGUGACGCAACUAAGUAGUCUAAUGUUGUUCCGGUUUUGGUUCUUAUGAAUAUUGGCAUCGAUUCGUUCCAAAUUUACACUCUCGGGGCAUAAGAGCCCAAUAUAAUUAGGUUUUACUCUGAAUGAGAAAAGGUGCUCCUUGCAAAGUUAUACUGUUGUGGUGCUACUGAGUAGUCUAAUGUUGUUCCGGUUUUGGUUCUUAUGAAUAUUGGCAUCGAUUUGUUCUAAAUUUACACUCUCUGGGCAUAAGAGACCAAUAUAAUUAGGUUUUACUAUUUAUUCGAUUGAAUGAGAAAAAGUGCUCGUCGCAAAGUUAUACUGUUAUGGCGCAACAGAGUAGUCUAAUGUUGUUCCCGUUUUUGUUCUUGUGAACGUUGACAUCGAUUCGUUCCAAAUUUACACUCUCGGGGCAUAAUAGAACAAUAUAAUUAGGUUUGGCUCUUUGUUCGAUUGAAUUAGAAAAAGUACUAGUUGCAAAGUUAUACUGUUAGGGCUCAACUGAAUAGUCUAACGUUAUUCCGGUUUUUGUUCUUGUGAACAUUGACAUCGAUUCGGUCCAAAUUUACACUCUUGGGGAAUAAUAGAAAGCUUUUACUCCUUGUUCGAUAGAAUGAGAAAAAAUACUUGUUGCAAAGUUAUACCAUUAUGGCGCAACUGAGUAGUCUAAUGUUAUUCCGGUUCUGGUUCUUGUGAACGUUGACAUUGAUUCCUUCCAAAUUUACACUCUCGGGGCAUAAUAGAACAAUUUAAUUAGGUUUUACUCUUUGUUCGAUAGAAUGAGAAAAAGUACUUGUUGUAAUGUUAUACUGUUAGAGCGCAACUGAGUAGUCUAAUGUUGUUCCGACUUUGGUUAUUGUGAAUGUUGAUAUCGAUUCAUUCUAAAUUUACACCCUCGGGGUAUAAUUAA
rnacentral:lncRNA from 1 species